UUUCCUUGUUAACUGUUGUCUGUCAUUAACAACCAAGUAAAAAAUUGUAUAUAAUGACAACAGAUUUAUCUUUAGAACUCUUUUCAAAAAUUUUGGUAUGAAUACAAAAGACCAAGUGAAAAUGAUACUGGAAAGACUGUUUACCGUUUGACUCCUGUCCCAAUCCUACCAAGUUGGUUCAAAAAGAAAGGACUGCGUUGAAAACAUGAGGGGGUUAAAAGAAUCAGCCCUUUUUGAAUUAAUAGUCGAUGUCGUAACCAGCUAGAAGUCGUAACCAGCUCGUAUGAAAGGAUUUCUCGACGUGAAAUAGUUAAUUUUAUUCAACAACUCCAAGAAACAGAGCUCACUCAAGAAACAGAAAAGAAAGCGAAAGAUGAAAAAAUAUUCUGUUUA
rnacentral:lncRNA from 1 species